rnacentral:rRNA from 1 species
CCUAGAGUUCGGGCUGCACGCGCGCUACACUGGACAGAGACAACGAGUGGGGCCCCUUGUCCGAAAUGACUGGGUAAACUUGUGAAACUUUGUCGUGCUGGGGAUGGAGCUUUGUAAUUUUUGCUCUUCAACGAGGAAUUCCUAGUAAGCGCAAGUCAUCAGCUUGCGUUGACUACGUCCCUGCCCUUUGUACACACCGCCCGUCGCUACUACCGAUUGAAUGGCUUAGUGAGGACUUGGGAGAGUACAUCGGGGAGCCAGCAAUGGCACCCUGACGGCUCAAACUCUUACAAACUUGGUCAUUUAGAGGAAGUAAAAGUCGUAACAAGGUAUCUGUAGGUGAACCUGCAGAUGGAUCAUUUCGAUGAAAACCUUUUUUCUGAGGUGUGGCUCGCACCUGUCUAACUAAACUUGAGCUACCUUUUUCAACACGGUUGCAUCGGUAGGGUUGGUGAACGCGCGUUCUUGGACGUGAGCUCGCCCCUCUACACUUUACACAAACACUUUUGAUCUUCUAGGAUUUGAAUGACAAUUUAUGACUGGUAAUUCGGUCGUUUAAAUUUAAAAACAACUUUUGGCAACGGAUCUCUUGGUUCUCCCAUCGAUGAAGAACGCAGCGAAUUGCGAUAAGUAAUGUGAAUUGCAGAAGUGAAUCAUCGAAUCUUUGAACGCACCUUGCGCUCCCUGCAGAUCUAAUCUGGGGAGCAUGCCUGUUUUGAAGGCCGCGAAUUGUUUCCAACCACCCCUUUUUUUUAUUAAAAAAGGGUUUGGAAUCGGUAAGUGAAGGGAAUUUUGCCCAUUUAAACCGGGGGCUUCCCCUCCAAAAAUACAAUUAAGCGCCAUUCCCAUUUUGAAAAAGGCCAAAAAAACGGGAACGAAAAAGCCUUCAUCCUUUUCGCUUCUUCUCCUUUCCCCUGGCCCGGGGGUUUUUGAAAAAAAAAUCCAGGGGACCUUUCCGGAAAGGGCGGGGAAAAAAAAAAAACCAAAAAAACCUUGGGAACCCCAAACCGAAUCCUUUGGCUGGUUUUGGGGGGGGGGCUUUUCUUGAAAACCCCCCCCCCCCAGGGCCUUUUUUCCUUUGGCCAAAAAAAAAGGGGGAUUUUUUAAAAAAAAAUUUCAAUCCGGGCCCCCCCCAAAAUUGG